UCUCUCUCUCUCUAAUUUAGGAGUUAUUGAUGGUUAAUCUAUUUGUGUCUGCUUCAAAGGAGCUUCUUUUGGGUUUGUUCAUUUUUGGGUUGCUAUCUGCUCGCCUUCGCGUGGCCGUGGUGGUGGUGAGUUCAUGGCGGUGGUGAUUUUUGUGAUUCUGGGUUUUUUUUCUUUCUCAUGGGUUUGUGGUGUGUGUCUUUGAGUUUGUGGUGGUGGGGAUCUCUCUU
rnacentral:lncRNA from 1 species